rnacentral:rRNA from 1 species
CAGCAACGCCGCGUGAGGGAUGAAGGCCUUCGGGUUGUAAACCUCUUUUYACAGGGAGAAAAAAGAUGACGGUACCUGCCCGAUAAGUCUCGGCUAACUACGUGCCAGCAGCCGCGGUAAUACGUAGGGGGCCAGCGUUAUCCGGAUUUAUUGGGCGUAAAAAGAGCAUAGGCGGUUUUUCAAGUCGGAUGUGAAAUCUCCCGGCUUAACCGGAAGGAGUCAUUCGAUACUGUUGGGCUUGAGUG